UACAGAGGGUGCGAGCGUUAAUCGGAAUUACUGGGCGUAAAGCGUGCGUAGACGGUUAUUUAAGUCGGGUGUGAAAGCCCCGGGCUCAACCUGGGAACUGCAUUUGUGACUGGCGGGCUAGAGUAUGGCAGAGGGGGGUAGAAUUCCACGUGUAGCAGUGAAAUGCGUAGAGAUCGGGAGGAACACCAGUGGCGAAGGCGGCACCCUGGACCAGCACUGACACUGAGGCACGAAAGCGUGGGGAGCAAACAGG
rnacentral:rRNA from 1 species